rnacentral:lncRNA from 1 species
UGAGGUUUAAUUUUGAAGGAAAUACACUAUGGCCCUAGUAAUACAUGUAGUAAUGUAAAAAGAUUACUAAUAAUUUAUAAUUUUAUAAUUGCUGUCAUAUUUUUUAAAGUGCAAUUGAAUAUUUAUUGCAUGAUUUAUAUUCAUGUAAAAAGUUAGAAGAUACCCAGAGGGAUAAUCAACCACCAGUGCAUCAUUUACAUGUCACGGAACAAGGCAAAAAGAAGAAAAACAACGUCCUUCUCAGUUCAAAAAACACUACACAUAUUUUUGCUUUCUGAAUUCAUCUGAAUAAAAAAAAACUAUAUCUUUCUAGUAUCUUUUUCCAACCUUUAUGCUGACAGGUGUAGAAAAUUAACGGG